AAUUUGACUUCUUGGUAUCUGAGUAGAUUUUCAGGGGGAUCAGCAUUUGCCGAAACAGCCAGUGGAUCUGCAGCAAUGAAGAAUGUCCAGGGGAGUGCCUUGUCACAGGUCAAUCACACUUCAAGAGCUUUGACAACAGAUACUUCACCUUCAGUGGGAUCUGCCAGUACCUGCUGGCCCGGGAUUGCCAGGACCACUCCUUCUCCAUUGUCAUUGAGACUGUCCAGUGUGCUGAUGACCGCGACGCUGUGUGCACCCGCUCCGUC
rnacentral:lncRNA from 1 species